rfam:Candidatus Beckwithbacteria bacterium RIFCSPLOWO2_02_FTLL_47_23 rifcsplowo2_02_scaffold_47687, whole genome shotgun sequence.
GGGGAUGAAAUGAUUCGACGCCCAGCAGCUCUUUGACACCUACAAGCAGACUUUGGUUAACAGUCUUAAAAAAUUGACCAAAAAAUAGCUGUCAACACUUUUGUCAGCAAAGCCAAGGUGUUUGUGGCCGACCUCGUUGAGGACGUCCGCUUCGCUUUUGCUCCUCGCGCUUUAGCUUUUGUUAGAGCGUAAGGCAUUCUGACCCACUUUGUUUGCGGAGUCGGGCCAGGGUGUAAACAAACACAGACUGUAAUCCCGAUGCGGUUCGAUCGGGACCAAAUUAAAGAACCAAACUUUCGCUCCGGCGCAAGUCGGAACUAAGCUUGUAAACGGUGCAAUCAGUUUCGGGCGGACGAGGGCUCAUUACCCUCCAUCUCCACUA